UACUGUGAGUCCAUCCUAUUGUGAGCCAAUUCUACUUUGAGCCCAUCCUACUGUGAGCUCAUCAUGCUAUGAGCCCAAGCUACUGUGAGUCCAUCUUACUGUGAGGCGAUCCUGCUGUGAGCCCAUCCUACUGCCUGCCAUCCUACUCUGAGCCCAUCCUACUGUCAGCCCAUUCUACUCUGAGCACAUCCUACUAUCAGCCCAUUCUACUCUGAGAUCAUCCUACUGUCAGCCCAUCCUGCUCUGAGCCCAUCCUACUCUAAGUCUAUCCUGCUGUGAGCCCAUCCUACCAUGAGCCCAUCCUGCUAUAAUCCCAUCCUACUGCCAUCCUGCUGUGAGUCCAUCCUACUGUGAGCCCAUCCUGCUGUGACACCAUCCUACUGUGACACCAUCCUACUGUGAGUCAACCCUAAUGUGAGCCCAUUCUGCUCUGAGCCCAUCCUACUCUGAGCCCAUCCUAUUGUAAGACUAUCCUGCUGUGAGCCCAUCCUACCAGGAGCCCAUCCUACUGUGAGCCCAUCCUACUGUGAGCCCAUCCUACUGUGAGCCCAUCCUACUGUGAGCCCAUCUUGCUGUGAGCCCAUCCUACUGUGAGCCCAUCCUACUGUGAGCCCAUCCUACUGUGAGCCCAUCCUACUGUGAGCCCAUCUUGCUGUGAGCCCAUCCUACUGUGAGCCCUCCUAUUCUGAGCCCAGCCUAAUGUGAUCUCAUCCUGCUGUGGGCCCAUCCUACUGUGAGUCCAUCCUGCUAUGGUUUUCAUGGGAAGGAAUGGAGAAGGGUGAAGGAAGGAAGGAGGUAUAUAUGGAAGGAAAGGACCUGGGAGUGAGGGAAGGGGAACAGAGUGUGGGGCGUAGGAGGUGGGAGGGAGGGAGAGAUGGGGAAGGAAGGCAAGCAAACAGCUCAUUUGAGAGGUGACAGAGCCCUGCAUGAGUAAAUAGAGAGUCAAGACACAGUCCUAGCCACGGUGGCUCAGGAAAGGUUCUGCCCUCAAGAGAAACUGAGCGGCCCAUCUGAAGUGGAUUCGUGGGACGUCGAUGGACAGAUGGACAGACAAAGGCCACCUAGCGGGAUUUUUCAUAAGCAAGUUUCCACAGCAAGCCAGGAGCUGUCUUAGUUAGGAUUUUACUGCUGUGAACAGACACCAUGAUCAAGGUUGGCUCGACUCUCAUCAUGCAAUCAGCUGGGCCCUCUCUUCCAUCCAAUCCCAGGCUUAAGCUGAGACAGCAACAUUCAAAAUCUCAGCAUAUCUUGCAGAGCUAAGGUGCCAGGCAUGGUGAUACACACCUGUGUCCCACCCUUUGGAACAGUAAGCCCCAAAUUA
rnacentral:lncRNA from 1 species